GAAUGCUGACAUAAGUAACGAUAAAGCGGGUGAAAAGCCCGCUCGCCGGAAGACCAAGGGUUCCUGUCCAACGUUAAUCGGGGCAGGGUGAGUCGACCCCUAAGGCGAGGCCGAAAGGCGUAGUCGAUGGGAAACGGGUUAAUAUUCCCGUACUUGGUGUUACUGCGAAGGGGGGACGGAGAAGGCUAUGUUGGCCGGGCGACGGUUGUCCCGGUUUAAGCGUGUAGGUGUGUGUUCCAGGUAAAUCCGGUUCACUUUAACACUGAGGCGUGACGACGAGGCACUACGGUGCUGAAGCAACAAAUGCCCUGCUUCCAGGAAAAGCCUCUAAGCAUCAGGUAACAUCAAAUCGUACCCCAAACCGACACAGGUGGUCAGGUAGAGAAUACCAAGGCGCUUGAGAGAACUCGGGUGAAGGAACUAGGCAAAAUGGUGCCGUAACUUCGGGAGAAGGCACGCUGACACGUAGGUGAAGUGAUUUACUCAUGGAGCUGAAGUCAGUCGAAGAUACCAGCUGGCUGCAACUGUUUAUUAAAAACACAGCACUGUGCAAACACGAAAGUGGACGUAUACGGUGUGACGCCUGCCCGGUGCCGGAAGGUUAAUUGAUGGGGUCAGCGCAAGCGAAGCUCCUGAUCGAAGCCCCGGUAAACGGCGGCCGUAACUAUAACGGUCCUAAGGUAGCGAAAUUCCUUGUCGGGUAAGUUCCGACCUGCACGAAUGGCGUAAUGAUGGCCAGGCUGUCUCCACCCGAGACUCAGUGAAAUUGAACUCGCUGUGAAGAUGCAGUGUACCCGCGGCAAGACGGAAAGACCCCGUGAACCUUUACUAUAGCUUGACACUGAACAUUGAGCCUUGAUGUGUAGGAUAGGUGGGAGGCUUUGAAGUGUGGACGCCAGUCUGCAUGGAGCCGACCUUGAAAUACCACCCUUUAAUGUUUGAUGUUCUAACGUGGACCCGUGAUCCGGGUUGCGGACAGUGUCUGGUGGGUAGUUUGACUGGGGCGGUCUCCUCCUAAAGAGUAACGGAGGAGCACGAAGGUUGGCUAAUCCUGGUCGGACAUCAGGAGGUUAGUGCAAUGGCAUAAGCCAGCUUGACUGCGAGCGUGACGGCGCGAGCAGGUGCGAAAGCAGGUCAUAGUGAUCCGGUGGUUCUGAAUGGAAGGGCCAUCGCUCAACGGAUAAAAGGUACUCCGGGGAUAACAGGCUGAUACCGCCCAAGAGUUCAUAUCGACGGCGGUGUUUGGCACCUCGAUGUCGGCUCAUCACAUCCUGGGGCUGAAGUAGGUCCCAAGGGUAUGGCUGUUCGCCAUUUAAAGUGGUACGCGAGCUGGGUUUAGAACGUCGUGAGACAGUUCGGUCCCUAUCUGCCGUGGGCGCUGGAGAACUGAGGGGGGCUGCUCCUAGUACGAGAGGACCGGAGUGGACGCAUCACUGGUGUUCGGGUUGUCAUGCCAAUGGCACUGCCCGGUAGCUAAAUGCGGAAGAGAUAAGUGCUGAAAGCAUCUAAGCACGAAACUUGCCCCGAG
rnacentral:rRNA from 5 species